AACAAUCAGAGAAAAACUAAAGCAUCCAUAAAGAAUCUAGAAGUUCAAGUAGGUCAGAUAGCCCAACAACUCUCAAAUCAAGCUCAAUGAACUCUUCCAAGUGCAACAAUACCAAAUCCCAAAAAUCAUGAGAAUGUAAAUGUUGUUACUACAAGAUCUCAAAAAUAAGAAUUUCCAAAUCUAGAGAUCAUAUUACCUUAUCCACAAAGAUUAGAAAGGGGAAUGAAUGAAAAAGAGCUACAGGUUUCACAUCAGGCACAAGGGAGUACUUCGAGCAACACUUCCG
rnacentral:lncRNA from 1 species